rnacentral:rRNA from 1 species
UACGAAGGGGGCUAGCGUUGCUCGGAUUGACUGGGCGUAAAGGGCGCGUAGGCGGUUCGUACAGUCAGACGUGAAAUUCCUGGGCUCAACCUGGGGGCUGCGUUUGAUACGUGCGGACUUGAGUGCGGAAGAGGGUCGUGGAAUUCCCAGUGUAGAGGUGAAAUUCGUAGAUAUUGGGAAGAACACCAAUUGCGAAGGCAGCUUACUACACAGUUAUUGACGCUGAGGCACGAAAGCGUGGGGGAGCAAACAGG